rnacentral:rRNA from 1 species
UAUGGCUCAGAUUGAACGCUGGCGGCAGGCCUAACACAUGCAAGUCGAGCGGCAGCACGGGUACUUGUACCUGGUGGCGAGCGGCGGACGGGUGAGUAAUGCCUAGGAAUCUGCCUGGUAGUGGGGGAUAACGUUCGGAAACGAACGCUAAUACCGCAUACGUCCUACGGGAGAAAGCAGGGGACCUUCGGGCCUUGCGCUAUCAGAUGAGCCUAGGUCGGAUUAGCUAGUUGGUGAGGUAAUGGCUCACCAAGGCGACGAUCCGUAACUGGUCUGAGAGGAUGAUCAGUCACACUGGAACUGAGACACGGUCCAGACUCCUACGGGAGGCAGCAGUGGGGAAUAUUGGACAAUGGGCGAAAGCCUGAUCCAGCCAUGCCGCGUGUGUGAAGAAGGUCUUCGGAUUGUAAAGCACUUUAAGUUGGGAGGAAGGGCAGUUACCUAAUACGUAAUUGUUUUGACGUUACCGACAGAAUAAGCACCGGCUAACUCUGUGCCAGCAGCCGCGGUAAUACAGAGGGUGCAAGCGUUAAUCGGAAUUACUGGGCGUAAAGCGCGCGUAGGUGGUUCGUUAAGUUGGAUGUGAAAUCCCCGGGCUCAACCUGGGAACUGCAUUCAAAACUGUCGAGCUAGAGUAUGGUAGAGGGUGGUGGAAUUUCCUGUGUAGCGGUGAAAUGCGUAGAUAUAGGAAGGAACACCAGUGGCGAAGGCGACCACCUGGACUGAUACUGACACUGA